GAGUUAUGUUCAUGGCAGCAGUCAGGCACAGUUCAUAGCAGAGACACACAUUGUCAUUUUGCUGUAUGCUGCUAUUACUUUUGGUAUUGUAUUACUCAACGAAAGUGUUACUCAAAAAGGUGAUGUCGGCAAAAGACGAAUUGUAACAAUUCUAGGUCUUGCUACAGUUGUGGUAUUCUUCAGUAUAUUAUUAUCUGUUUUUAGAUCUAAAUAUCAUGGUUACCCUUACAGUUUCCUCAUCCGAUAGAGAAGAUGUCUUUUUAUUCUUAACUGAAAUUUAACUGUCUAUGCUCCUUUUGUUAAUUACUGCAGUAAAUGUAGUAUAAUGAGUUUUUUUUUUUCAUCUGCAGAUGAAAUGUUGCCAUUUCUUGUUUUAUGUUCUCAAUGUCACAUUCACUAACAAAUCAGUACCCCUCCCCCAUUCUUUUUUUUUUUUUUUUUUUGAUAAAUAACAUCAGUACUCAUUCUAUAAUCUAAUUUGUGCUCUUCCACAACUAUUUUUAUUUGCUUGUACAGAAACAUUUUUGAGUUAAGGGCAGAAACUGCAGUGAUCUCUUUAUUAACAUACCGGUACUAUUAUGGUAAUUUGUUUAUGUGGGUGCAAUAUUUUGUUAUUUCUUUCUUUGGUGUGUAUUUCAUACUAUGGUAAUCCAAUCAUGAUUCAUGAUGUAUUGUUUUAUUAUCCUACAUUUCUCUUAUUACGCUAUUUGCGUUAUUAGUAGCACUUGCACUUAACAUAAAAGUGUGGUGUCUCGCAGCAAAAAAAUUUUGUAUUAUUGUGACAUUAAAUACAAUUUUUAGUUUAUAUCUGCAACUAUUAGCAAUGGUUUCUAAUGGAGCAAAUACGGUAUAUAUACUGACUGAACAUAGGUCAAUGUUAAAAAGAAAAUUGCAGCUAUGUCCUUUUAUGUUGAAAGCUGCUAUUGUAUGCGUCAUAAAUUUUGUGAAGGGAGGUUUUAAAGGAAGUUGUGUCAGUCCUUAGGAUUGCACCAGGUGUUCACGCCAAGAUUAGGUUAUUUAUUAAUUUUGGGGUAAUCAUAUUUUGAAUAUUGUAAGUGCCAGCAUAGUUGCGAGGUCCAUUCUGAAUUUGACCUGAACUUUGGAAAUUUUAGUCAGAUUUGCAUGUCGGCCGUUUGUUGUUAUAGUCACGAUUGAUUCUAUUUUAGCCAUUUCAUGUUAGGAUGUUUUCUGUACAGUACAGCUAGAAGUGUUGCCGAUUACAGUCCAUUCAACGUUAUUUUUGAAUCGUGCAAUUCUACAUGUUGCAUCCAAGAUGGCUGAUAUUUCACCCUAUAAGUAAAAUCAUCCAGUUUCUAUAGGUUGAAUUCAAGAUGGCUGAUAUUUAAAAAUAAAGCACUGUCAAUACAAACUUCUUGUAAUAAACUAAUCUGAUACUUACAUAA